CACGUAGGGCGCAAGCGUUGUCCGGAAUUAUUGGGCGUAAAGAGCUCGUAGGCGGUUUGUCGCGUCUGCUGUGAAAAUCCAGGGCUUAACCCUGGACCUGCAGUGGGUACGGGCAGACUGGAGUGGCGGUAGGGGAGAUCGGAAUUCCCGGUGUAGCGGUGAAAUGCGCAGAUAUCGGGAGGAACACCUAUGGCGAAGGCAGCUCGCUGGGACGUUACUGACGCUGAGACGCGAAAGCGUGGGGGAGCAAACAGG
rnacentral:rRNA from 1 species